GACGAACGCUGGCGGCGUGCUUAACACAUGCAAGUCGAACGCUGAAGCUUGGUGCUUGCACUGGGUGGAUGAGUGGCGAACGGGUGAGGAAUAAGUGAGUAACCUGCCCUUGACUCUGGGAUGAGCAUGGGAAACUGGGUCUAAUACUGGAUACGACAUGUCACCGCAUGGUGGUGUGGGGAAAGGGUUUUACUGGUUUUGGAUGGGCUCACGGCCUAUCAGCUUGUUGGUGGGGUAAUGGCUCACCAAGGCGACGACGGGUAGCCGGCCUGAGAGGGUGACCGGCCACACUGGGACUGAGACACGGCCCAGACUCCUACGGGAGGCAGCAGUGGGGAAUAGUGCACAAUGGGCGGAAGCCUGAUGCAGCGACGCCGCGUGAGGGGUGACGGCCUUCGGGUUGUAAACCUCUUUCAGCACGGAAGAAGCGAAAGUGACGGUACGUGCAGAAGAAGCGCCGGCUAACUACGUG
rnacentral:rRNA from 1 species